rnacentral:misc_RNA from 1 species
GAAAUGCGAUAAGUAAUGUGAAUUGCGGAAUUCAGUGAAUCAUCGAAUCUUUGAACGCACAUUGCGCCCGCCAGUAUUCUGGCGGGCAUGCCUGUUCGAGCGUCAUUUCAACCAUCAAGCCCCCGGGCUUGUGUUGGGGACCUGCGGCUGCCGCAGGCCCCGAAAACCAGUGGCGGGCUCGCUGUCACACCGGGCGUAGUGGAUUUUUCGUCUCGCCCAGGGCGUGCUGCGGGUUCCGGCCGUUAAAAAGCCUCUCUUUUAACCCAAGGUUGACCUCGGAUCAGGUAGGAAGACCCGCUGAACUUAAGC